UCAAGAAACUUCCGCAAUGGGCGAAAGCCUGAUGGAGCGACGUCGCGUGAUGGACGAAGUGCUUCGGCACGUAAACAUCUUUUAUGUGGGAUGAAAUUAUUGACAGUACCACAUGAAUAAGGGGCUCCUAACUCUGUGCCAGCAGGAGCGGUAAUACAGAGGCCCCAAGCGUUAUCCGGAAUCACUGGGCGUAAAGGGUGUCGAGGCGGUUGUAUUAGUCGUUCGUAAAAUCUACGAGCUUAACUUGUAGGCGGCGAACGAAACGGUACGACUUGAGGUUUGGAGAGGUGCGUGGAACUCACGGUGUAGGGGUGAAAUCCGUUGAUAUCGUGGGGAACACCAAAGGCGAAGGCAGCGCACUGGCCAAAAUCUGACGCUCACACACGAAAGCUAGGGUAGCGAAGAGGAUUAGAUACCCCGGUAGUCCCUGAGCGGGCUGGCAAGGCGCAU
rnacentral:rRNA from 1 species